rnacentral:rRNA from 1 species
CCUACGGGAGGCAGCAGUGGGGAAUAAUGCGCAAUGGGCGAAAGCCUGACGCAGCGACGCCGCGUGAGGGAUGAAGGUCUUCGGAUCGUAAACCUCUGUCAGCAGGGAAGAACGGUCACUGUGCUAAUCAGCAGUGAAUUGACGGUACCUGCAAAGGAAGCACCGGCUAACUCCGUGCCAGCAGCCGCGGUAAUACGGAGGGGGCGAGCGUUAAUCGGAAUUACUGGGCGUAAAGCGCUCGUAGGCGGUAUGUCAAGUCAAGGGUGAAAUCCCCGCGCUCAACGUGGGAACUGCCUUUGAAACUGGCAAACUGGAGUGUGUGAGAGGAUAGUGGAAUUCCAGGUGUAGGAGUGAAAUCCGUAGAUAUCUGGAGGAACAUCAGUGGCGAAGGCGACUAGCUGGAACAUAACUGACGCUGAGGAGCGAAAGCGUGGGUAGCAAACAGGAUUAGAUACCCCAGUAGUC